GCGCUGGUAGUAUAACGGUUAGUACUAUUGGUUUCCAACCAAUUGACCCGGGUUCAACUCCCGGCCGGCGCA
rnacentral:tRNA from 1 species